GACGAACGCUGGCGGCGUGCCUAAUACAUGCAAGUUGAGCGAUGAAGAUUGGUGCUUGCACCAAUUUGAAGAGCAGCGAACGGGUGAGUAACGCGUGGGGAAUCUGCCUUUGAGCGGGGGACAACAUUUGGAAACGAAUGCUAAUACCGCAUAACAACUUUAAACAUAAGUUUUAAGUUUGAAAGAUGCAAUUGCAUCACUCAAAGAUGAUCCCGCGUUGUAUUAGCUAGUAGGUGAGGUAAUGGCUCACCUAGGCGACGAUACAUAGCCGACCUGAGAGGGUGAUCGGCCACACUGGGACUGAGACACGGCCCAGACUCCUACGGGAGGCAGCAGUAGGGAAUCUUCGGCAAUGGGGGCAACCCUGACCGAGCAACGCCGCGUGAGUGAAGAAGGUUUUCGGAUCGUAAAGCUCUGUUGUAAGUCAAGAACGGGUGUGAGAGUGGAAAGUUCACACUGUGACGGUAGCUUACCAGAAAGGGACGGCUAACUACGUGCCAGCAGCCGCGGUAAUACGUAGGUCCCGAGCGUUGUCCGGAUUUAUUGGGCGUAAAGCGAGCGCAGGCGGUUUGAUAAGUCUGAAGUUAAAGGCUGUGGCUCAACCAUAGUUCGCUUUGGAAACUGUCAAACUUGAGUGCAGAAGGGGAGAGUGGAACUC
rnacentral:rRNA from 1 species